rnacentral:rRNA from 1 species
CCCUACGGGAGGCAGCAGUAGGGAAUUUUCGGCAAUGGGCGAAAGCCUGACCGAGCAAUGCCGCGUGAGUGAAGAAGGCCUUCGGGUUGUAAAGCUCUGUUGUAAAGGAAGAACGGAUGGCAUAGGGAAUGAUGCCAUUGUGACGGUACUUUACGAGGAAGUCACGGCUAACUACGUGCCAGCAGCCGCGGUAAUACGUAGGUGGCGAGCGUUAUCCGGAAUGAUUGGGCGUAAAGGGUGCGCAGGCGGUCCUGCAAGUCUGGAGUGAAACGCAUGAGCUCAACUCAUGCAUGGCUUUGGAAACU